rnacentral:tRNA from 1 species
GCCUGGGUGGCUCAGUUGGUUAAGCAUCUGACUUCAGCUCAGGUCAUGAUCCCACAAUUCGUGGGCUCGAGCCCCAUGUCGGGCU